CAGAGACUGCAAGCGUUAUUCGGAUUCACUGGGCGUAAAGGGUGCGCAGGCGGCCAUGUGUGUGAGGCGUGAAAGCCCGGGGCUUAACCCCGGAAUUGCACCUCAAACUACAUGGCUAGAGCAUUGGAGAGGGUAGCAGAAUUCAUGGUGUAGCAGUGAAAUGCGUAGAUAUCAUGAGGAAUACCAGAGGCGAAGGCGGCUACCUGGACAAUUGCUGACGCUCAGGCACGAAAGCGUGGGGAGCAAAAGGGAUUAGAUACCCCUGUAGUCCACGCCCUAAACGGUGCACACUAGGUCUUGGCGGAUUCGACCCCCCCAGGGCCCCAGCUAACGCGUUAAGUGUGCCGCCUGAGGACUACGGCCGCAAGGCUA
rnacentral:rRNA from 1 species